CAGGGAGACAACAAAAUGUUUAAUAUUAUUAUUUUGUCACCUUAAGUCGAUCGGUAUCUCACAUUCUUAAUUUAUUAAGAAUUUCAUUUCCUAAGUUUUCUAGGUCACACCCAUUAUUUUUCCUGGGCCAUUAGCUCAGGUGGUUAGAGCGCACCCCUGAUAAGGGUGAGGUCCCUGGUUCAAGUCCAGGAUGGCCCAUAUCUCUAUGUUGGGGGUAUAGCUCAGUUGGUAGAGCGCCUGCUUUGCAAGCAGGAUGUCAGCGGUUCGAGUCCGCUUACCUCCACUGAUUACCACCUCUACCAUAAUCUGUAGAAAGGAAAAUUUUGUGAUGUGAUCAACUUUCUGAACGAAUCUAGCUUCCUAAUAAAACCAUUAAGAUGCUGGACUCAUUGAAUUAAUUUCAUUGUUUUCAGAGAACCUUGACAACUGCAUAGAUUAUUUUUAAAGACAAUAAGCAUCUUUAUGAUGCAGAUUUAUUAUUUGUGCGAAUGCAUUAAUAACAAUUCUAUUAAGCUGAUGCUUCAAUUAUGAAGUUAUU
rnacentral:tRNA from 1 species